rnacentral:rRNA from 1 species
GAGCAGCCCAGAGCCUGAAUCAGUGUGUGUGUUAGUGGAAGCGUCUGGAAAGGCGCGCGAUACAGGGUGACAGCCCCGUACACAAAAAUGCACAUGCUGUGAGCUCGAUGAGUAGGGCGGGACACGUGGUAUCCUGUCUGAAUAUGGGGGGACCAUCCUCCAAGGCUAAAUACUCCUGACUGACCGAUAGUGAACCAGUACCGUGAGGGAAAGGCGAAAAGAACCCCGGCGAGGGGAGUGAAAAAGAACCUGAAACCGUGUACGUACAAGCAGUGGGAGCACGCUUAGGCGUGUGACUGCGUACCUUUUGUAUAAUGGGUCAGCGACUUAUAUUCUGUAGCAAGGUUAACCGAAUAGGGGAGCCGAAGGGAAACCGAGUCUUAACUGGGCGUUAAGUUGCAGGGUAUAGACCCGAAACCCGGUGAUCUAGCCAUGGGCAGGUUGAAGGUUGGGUAACACUAACUGGAGGACCGAACCGACUAAUGUUGAAAAAUUAGCGGAUGACUUGUGGCUGGGGGUGAAAGGCCAAUCAAACCGGGAGAUAGCUGGUUCUCCCCGAAAGCUAUUUAGGUAGCGCCUCGUGAAUUCAUCUCCGGGGGUAGAGCACUGUUUCGGCAAGGGGGUCAUCCCGACUUACCAACCCGAUGCAAACUGCGAAUACCGGAGAAUGUUAUCACGGGAGACACACGGCGGGUGCUAACGUCCGUCGUGAAGAGGGAAACAACCCAGACCGCCAGCUAAGGUCCCAAAGUCAUGGUUAAGUGGGAAACGAUGUGGGAAGGCCCAGACAGCCAGGAUGUUGGCUUAGAAGCAGCCAUCAUUUAAAGAAAGCGUAAUAGCUCACUGGUCGAGUCGGCCUGCGCGGAAGAUGUAACGGGGCUAAACCAUGCACCGAAGCUGCGGCAGCGACGCUUAUGCGUUGUUGGGUAGGGGAGCGUUCUGUAAGCCUGUGAAGGUGUGCUGUGAGGCAUGCUGGAGGUAUCAGAAGUGCGAAUGCUGACAUAAGUAACGAUAAAGCGGGUGAAAAGCCCGCUCGCCGGAAGACCAAGGGUUCCUGUCCAACGUUAAUCGGGGCAGGGUGAGUCGACCCCUAAGGCGAGGCCGAAAGGCGUAGUCGAUGGGAAACAGGUUAAUAUUCCUGUACUUGGUGUUACUGCGAAGGGGGGACGGAGAAGGCUAUGUUGGCCGGGCGACGGUUGUCCCGGUUUAAGCGUGUAGGCUGGUUUUCCAGGCAAAUCCGGAAAAUCAAGGCUGAGGCGUGAUGACGAGGCACUACGGUGCUGAAGCAACAAAUGCCCUGCUUCCAGGAAAAGCCUCUAAGCAUCAGGUAACAUCAAAUCGUACCCCAAACCGACACAGGUGGUCAGGUAGAGAAUACCAAGGCGCUUGAGAGAACUCGGGUGAAGGAACUAGGCAAAAUGGUGCCGUAACUUCGGGAGAAGGCACGCUGAUAUGUAGGUGAAGUCCCUCGCGGAUGGAGCUGAAAUCAGUCGAAGAUACCAGCUGGCUGCAACUGUUUAUUAAAAACACAGCACUGUGCAAACACGAAAGUGGACGUAUACGGUGUGACGCCUGCCCGGUGCCGGAAGGUUAAUUGAUGGGGUCAGCGCAAGCGAAGCUCUUGAUCGAAGCCCCGGUAAACGGCGGCCGUAACUAUAACGGUCCUAAGGUAGCGAAAUUCCUUGUCGGGUAAGUUCCGACCUGCACGAAUGGCGUAAUGAUGGCCAGGCUGUCUCCACCCGAGACUCAGUGAAAUUGAACUCGCUGUGAAGAUGCAGUGUACCCGCGGCAAGACGGAAAGACCCCGUGAACCUUUACUAUAGCUUGACACUGAACAUUGAGCCUUGAUGUGUAGGAUAGGUGGGAGGCUUAGAAGUGUGGACGCCAGUCUGCAUGGAGCCGACCUUGAAAUACCACCCUUUAAUGUUUGAUGUUCUAACGUUGACCCGUAAUCCGGGUUGCGGACAGUGUCUGGUGGGUAGUUUGACUGGGGCGGUCUCCUCCUAAAGAGUAACGGAGGAGCACGAAGGUUGGCUAAUCCUGGUCGGACAUCAGGAGGUUAGUGCAAUGGCAUAAGCCAGCUUGACUGCGAGCGUGACGGCGCGAGCAGGUGCGAAAGCAGGUCAUAGUGAUCCGGUGGUUCUGAAUGGAAGGGCCAUCGCUCAACGGAUAAAAGGUACUCCGGGGAUAACAGGCUGAUACCGCCCAAGAGUUCAUAUCGACGGCGGUGUUUGGCACCUCGAUGUCGGCUCAUCACAUCCUGGGGCUGAAGUAGGUCCCAAGGGUAUGGCUGUUCGCCAUUUAAAGUGGUACGCGAGCUGGGUUUAGAACGUCGUGAGACAGUUCGGUCCCUAUCUGCCGUGGGCGCUGGAGAACUGAGGGGGGCUGCUCCUAGUACGAGAGG